rnacentral:lncRNA from 1 species
AUUUCCUAAAAAGCUGAGUGCAAAGAGUUCUGAGGCAAACAGGCAUAGCAAGCAACUGUCAAAAAUAGCACCGUGUUGAAUAUUGACAGCUUUUGUCCAUCUGCUUUCUCAAAAACCCAGCCUCUUUCUUGCAUUGUAAGAAUGUUGAAGUGAAGAAGAAGCCAAGUUCUAGCACAGGGCCUAGCCUGGGACUACAACUCCCAGGAUGCACCAGGAGCGGACACUGACCAAUCAGGAAGCCCAGUCUCACUUCCUCGGCCCAGCUCACGCUCUCCCCGCUUAACAGCGAGAAAUUGGUGAAGACCUGUCCAGGCUGCCUCAAGUUGCAUCUUCAGCCUGGCCCCAGUGCAGUUCGCAAGGUCUCUCAGCCCGUGGCUCCCAAGAGCCCGCUUUCCUCACAGGCAUGGUC